GUCGCUGCAGGUUUCCUGCUUUGAAUUGGAAAGCACUCUGGAUCAGAAAGGAUUGCAGGAACCUAAGCCUUUCAGUUUCUUCAGCGUAAAGCAAGUUAACUGAUGUCUUCUAGGUGACCUCUGAAAGUCACUUGUAAUUCUUCAGCAGGCUGGAGCCCCUGCUGCAAUGCCACAGCAGCUCACACCUUGUUGCGAUCUGAGUCUCCUGGAACAAUAAUCACCCAGAGCCACCCUCGCUGCAGAUGGCCCCUGCACUUCCAGACUGUUUAAAAACAGCAUCAACAGUGAUAAGUGAUCACUACUUAGGGAUUCCUUAUUUUGGAGAAGAAUCUGGCCUACCAAGCGAGACUUAGUGAUUGUUCUUGGAACUGGUUGCAUUAUUUGCUACUCUUAGACCCAGACCAUCUCUAGGUCUGCAACCAAGCUGCACUUUCUUGCUCAUCCUGGGGUUAUUGUGCGAUAUCCUGAAAUUUUCUCUAGGGAUGAUAACAGCAAGGCUUUUUCCCUCUGCAAAUAUAUACGACUUUGCUGAAUUAAUAGAAAUAUGGAAAAGGAGGACCAGGAUUCAGGUAGGUAAACAAUUACUAACCAUUGAACUAAAUUACUUUCUGAAUUUUUUUUCCACAGUAUUCGCACUUUU